UACGUAGGGUGCAAGCGUUGUCCGGAAUUACUGGGCGUAAAGGGCGCGUAGGCGGCUCUGAUCGUCGGAUGUGAAAGGCCUGGGCUCAACCUGGGAAUGGCAUCCGAUACGGCGGGGCUGGAGUGUGGGAGAGGUUGGUGGAAUUCCCAGUGUAGAGGUGAAAUUCGUAGAUAUUGGGAAGAACACCGGUGGUGAAGGCGGCCAACUGGACCACAACUGACGCUGAGGCGCGAAAGCGUGGGGAGCAAACAGG
rnacentral:rRNA from 1 species